rnacentral:rRNA from 1 species
CUACACGGGUAUCUAAUCCUGUUUGCUCCCCACGCUUUCGCACCUCAGCGUCAGUAUUAAUCCAGAAAGCCGCCUUCGCCACUGAUGUUCCUCCACAUAUCUACGCAUUUCACCGCUACAUGUGGAAUUCCGCUUUCCUCUAUCAUACUCUAGCUCGACAGUAUCGAAUGGCAUUCCCAGGUUGAGCCCAGGGCUUUCACACCCGACUUAUCGAACCGCCUACGCGCGCUUUACGCCCAGUAAUUCCGAUUAACGCUUGCACCCUCUGUAUUACCGCGGCUGCUGGCAC